rnacentral:rRNA from 1 species
GACGAACGCUGGUGGCGUGCUUAACACAUGCAAGUCGAACGGAAAGGCCAUGCUUUUGUGGGGUGCUCGUGUGGCGAACGGGUGAGUAACACGUGAGUAACCUGCCCUUGACUUUGGGAUAACUUCUGGAAACUGGGGCUAAUACCGGAUAGGAGCUCCUGCUGCAUGGUGGGGGUUGGAAAGUUUCGGCGGUUGGGGAUGGACUCGCGGCUUAUCAGCUUGUUGGUGGGGUAGUGGCUUACCAAGGCUUUGACGGGUAGCCGGCCUGAGAGGGUGACCGGCCACAUUGGGACUGAGAUACGGCCCAGACUCCUACGGGAGGCAGCAGUGGGGAAUAUUGCACAAUGGGCGGAAGCCUGAUGCAGCAACGCCGCGUGCGGGAUGACGGCCUUCGGGUUGUAAACCGCUUUCGCCUGUGACGAAGCGUGAGUGACGGUAAUGGGUAAAGAAGCACCGGCUAACUACGUG